CAUUACUAGAGCAAAGGAUAGGCAGCGCCCCACAGAAGCUUGCUUCGUGGCGGGCUACCCUACUUCGGUAGGGUUUAGAGUCGUCGAACCUCUCGGAGAAGUUCGGUCCUGAACUCCACCCUUGAAUAAAAUUACCUUUGUUGCUUUGGCGGGCCGCCUCGUGCCAGCGGCUUCGGGCUGUUGAGUGCCCGCCAGAGGACCACAACUCUUGUUUUUUGUGAUGUCUGAGUACUAUAUAAUAGUUAAAACUUUCAACAACGGAUCUCUUGGUUCUGGCAUCGAUGAAGAACGCAGCGAAAUGCGAUAAGUAAUGUGAAUUGCAGAAUUCAGUGAAUCAUCGAAUCUUUGAACGCACAUUGCGCCCUCUGGUAUUCCGGGGGGCAUGCCUGUUCGAGCGUCAUUAUAACCACUCAAGCUUUCGCUUGGUAUUGGGGCUCGCGGUUCCGCGGCCCCUAAAAUCAGUGGCGGUGCCUGUCGGCUCUACGCGUAGUAAUACUCCUCGCGAUUGAGUCCGGUAGGUCUACUUGCCAGCAACCCCCAAUUUUUACAGGUUGACCUCGGAUCAGGUAGGGAUACCCGCUGAACUUAAGCAUAUCAAUAAGCGGAGGAAG
rnacentral:rRNA from 1 species